UGAGAUGGCAUCAAGAGGCUGCAAGCAUCCGGCAGACGCAUUUUGCUAUGUCUGCGGCCAAUUUAUUAAGACGAGCGAAAAAGUAUUCUGUGGAAGCAUCUGCUAAGAUGUGUGAGGCCUACAAAGAAUAUUUCAGCAUGCCUGUCGGGGAUCAAGACAAACCCUGGGCACCUCAUUUCACCUGCGAGCAAUGCAAAAAAACUCUGGAAGAAUAACACCAAGGGCACGCAGAGUGAACAAGGAUCGGGGGAAACCAGCCAAGGGCUGUCCAUAGCGGGGUGCGGUGCCCAGGUGAAAUCACGCAGUGUGGGCUCCCCAACGCCUUCAAACUAAACCGGAAGUAUUACGUCUGAAACCGUAAUGUCGAAGCGCGGGGCCCCCCAAGGCGUGGGGCCCUAGGCAGUCGCCCCGAUUCGCCAUACCCUUGGGACGGCUGUCACUUCAGUCUUUCUUGCCUGCUCAGUUUGCCAACGUAUUGCACUGCCAUGCUCUUGUACCAGCUGUACUUUUUAACGUCUAAAUAGUUUUCUUUGGCCAUUAAUGUCCAUCCCCUGCGCAUGUAUUACGUCUUGGGUAUGUUGAUUUGUUUGUGUUGUCUCUGCAUAUCAAUGUGCUCCAUCUAUAAAUUGCUGAUACUUGAAAUGGAGUGGUGUGCUCUGUGAUCUGUUGAUCAAGUGCUGCAGACAUAAGUGGGGGGUCUGGAUGGGGACUGGCAUCUGGACGGUGUGUGGGUAUAUCAUUGCAGAAUGCAUGCAUCUACAGGCUGGCAUUAUGCUGGAAGCUGAAAGAAUAGUGCUGAUUAACACGUGCUGAAAUGCGAUUGCAUGAUAAUAUGCUGUAAAUGAA